CCUACGGGAGGCAGCAGUGGGGAAUAUUGGACAAUGGGGGAAACCCUGAUCCAGCGACGCCGCGUGAGUGAAGAAGUAUUUCGGUACGUAAAGCUCUAUCAGCAGGGAAGAAAAUGACGGUACCUGACUAAGAAGCCCCGGCUAACUACGUGCCAGCAGCCGCGGUAAUACGUAGGGGGCAAGCGUUAUCCGGAUUUACUGGGUGUAAAGGGAGCGCAGACGGCUGUGCAAGUCUGGAGUGAAAGGCGGGGGCCCAACCCCCGGACUGCUCUGGAAACUGUAAAGCUGGAGUGCAGGAGAGGUAAGCGGAAUUCCUAGUGUAGCGGUGAAAGGCGUAGAUAUUAGGAGGAACACCAGUGGCGAAGGCGGCUUACUGGACUGCAACUGACGUUGAGGCUCGAAAGCGUGGGGAGCAAACAGGAUUAGAUACCCUUGUAGUC
rnacentral:rRNA from 1 species